rnacentral:rRNA from 1 species
AUUGAACGCUGGCGGCAUGCUUUACACAUGCAAGUCGAACGGUAACAGGCCGCAAGGUGCUGACGAGUGGCGAACGGGUGAGUAAUGCAUCGGAACGUGCCCAGUCGUGGGGGAUAACGCAGCGAAAGCUGCGCUAAUACCGCAUACGAUCUAUGGAUGAAAGCGGGGGACCGUAAGGCCUCGCGCGAUUGGAGCGGCCGAUGUCAGAUUAGGUAGUUGGUGGGGGAAAGGCUCACCAAGCCAAAGAUCUGUAGCUGGUGUGAGAGGACGACCGGCCACACUGGGACUGAGACACGGCCUAGACUCCUACGGGAGGCAGCAGUGGGGAAUGUUGGACAAGGGGGGCAAGCCUGAGCCAGCAAUGCCGCGUGCAGGAAGAAGGCCUUCGGGUUGUAAACUGCUUUUGUACGGAACGAAACGGUCCUGGUUAAUACCUGGGGCUAAUGACGGUACCGUAAGAAUAAGCACCGGCUAACUACGUGCCAGCAGCCGCCGCGG